rnacentral:rRNA from 1 species
GAUGAACGCUGGCGGCGUGCCUAAUACAUGCAAGUCGAGCGAACAGACGAGGAGCUUGCUCCUCUGCCGUUAGCGGCGGACGGGUGAGUAACACGUGGAUAACCUACCUAUAAGACUGGGAUAACUUCGGGAACCCGGAGCUAAUACCGGAUAAUAUAUUGAACCGCAUGGUUCAAUAGUGAAAGACGGUUCUGCUGUCACUUAUAGAUGUAUCCGCGCCGCAUUAGCUAGUUGGUAAGGUAACGGCUUACCAAGGCAACGAUGCGUAGCCGACCUGAGAGGGUGAUCGGCCACACUGGAACUGAGACACGGUCCAGACUCCUACGGGAGGCAGCAGUGGGGAAUCUUCCACAAUGGGCGAAAGCCUGACGGAGCCAUGCCGCGUGAGUGAUGAAGGUCUUCGGAUUGUAAAACUCUGUUAGUAGGGAAGAACAAAUGUGUAAGUAACUAUGCACGUCUUGACGGUACCUAAACAGAAAGCCACGGCUAACUACGUG